rnacentral:rRNA from 1 species
GAUGAACGCUGGCGGCGUGCCUAAUACAUGCAAGUCGAGCGAACAGACGAUGAGCUUGCUCCUCUGACGUUAGCGGCGGACGGGUGAGUAACACGUGGAUAACCUACCUAUAAGACUGGGAUAACUUCGGGAAACCGGAGCUAAUACCGGAUAAUAUAUUGAACCGCAUGGUUCAAUAGUGAAAGACGGUUUUGCUGUCACUUAUAGAUGGAUCCGCGCCGCAUUAGCUAGUUGGUAAGGUAACGGCUUACCAAGGCAACGAUGCGUAGCCGAUCUGAGAGGGUGAUCAGCCACACUGGAACUGAGACACGGUCCAGACUCCUACGGGAGGCAGCAGUAGGGAAUCUUCCGCAAUGGGCGAAAGCCUGACGGAGCAACGCCGCGUGAGUGAUGAAGGUCUUCGGAUCGUAAAACUCUGUUAUUAGGGAAGAACAAAUGUGUAAGUAAAUAUGCACGUCUUGACGGUACCUAAUCAGAAAGCCACGGCUAACUACGUG